rnacentral:misc_RNA from 1 species
CGGUAUGCAUCUCAAUGGACCUGAUA